rnacentral:lncRNA from 10 species
GGGGCUGUGUGCGAUCUGCCAAGGUGCGCCCGUGUGGCCCUCCGGCGGGCUGUGCGGUGGCAUGUGACUUCACUGAGUAGGUGUCUUUGUAUGUCUGAAAUCCAGCGAGUGUGUGGGACUGCCCGUGUCAGUUACAUGUGUGCAUGUGGAGACGUAGAUGUUCUGGAGCCAUGUUGUCGCUUUGUGAGUGCUGAGUGGCUCCGCUGUGCUCCCGUGCUGUCUCAAGAGUGUGGACCAGAAUGGCCCAACGCUGGGCCAUGUGUCUCCCAUCGCGUGGGUGCUCCUCUCUAACUGUGUCUGUGCAUGGCUGUCGGCCGGUGUCGGUGUGUGUGCCUGUGUUGAGUAAAUGAGGCCAGAGGGCUGCUUAGCAGAAGACCUAGGGCCCAGGUCACAUAUUCUCCUGGAAAAGGGAUCAUGGAAGGACAGUGACCAGAAGGACAG